rnacentral:rRNA from 1 species
AUUGAACGCUGGCGGCAUGCCUUACACAUGCAAGUCGAACGGCAGCACGGGAGCAAUCCUGGUGGCGAGUGGCGAACGGGUGAGUAAUAUAUCGGAACGUGCCCAGUCGUGGGGAUAACGUAGCGAAAGCUACGCUAAUACCGCAUACGAUCUAUGGAUGAAAGCGGGGGAUCGCAAGACCUCGCGCGAUUGGAGCGGCCGAUAUCAGAUUAGGUAGUUGGUGAGGUAAAGGCUCACCAAGCCGACGAUCUGUAGCUGGUCUGAGAGGACGACCAGCCACACUGGGACUGAGGCACGGCCCAGACUCCUACGGGAGGCAGCAGUGGGGAAUUUUGGACAAUGGGCGCAAGCCUGAUCCAGCAAUGCCGCGUGCAGGAUGAAGGCCCUCGGGUUGUAAACUGCUUUUGUACGGAACGAAAGGUUUCUAUUAAUACUAGGAGCUCAUGACGGUACCGUAAGAAUAAGCACCGGCUAACUACGU